AUUGGCCAGGCCUGGAAGAGCAGUACAAGAAUGACAAGUAGAGAGUACAGAAUGUACAAAGGCAAACAGGGAGUGUAUACAAAGCUCUGCAAGGAUUGGCUGCAGUGAACAACUUGUUCAUUCAUCUAUUUAACAAGCAUUUAUUCAGUGCUUACUAUCUCAGGAACUGUUACGACACCAGUAGUGAGCAAUGCACAUAUUUCAGUGUGUCCAGAUUACAAUGGUUAUGGAGAAUAUGGUUAGGCUUGGCCACAAGAGAAUCUUGUGUGAUAUUGAAAAUGUGGGUGUGAAGCAGCAGCCAUGAUUCUAAGGUUGGUUAAGUGUCCUGGAUGCUACUGGAGCAUGCAUACCUUAUGGCUAACCUACUGGGUCACAUUGUGGCAUGGAGACUUGUAAUACAAAAAUAUUUAUCUUGAGAGUUUGACAUUAAUGUCUAGCUACCAAUAUAAACGUCAUCUAAAUUUAAAGAACUAAUUUUUCACUCAUUUUGAAACAUAAUUCAGCAACAAGUAUAAAAGGAAUCACCUACAGAUUACAUGCAUUCUCAAUAUUUUAAUCAGGUCAGCUGUAAAUGAAGUGCAUAUAAAUUUGAGUGCAUCCAAAUACAAGUGGAUUUUGAGUCCCGACACUAUAUGAACUAUAUGGAGAUUGGUUUAUAAAAUAAGAGUUUAUAAAACAAUACCUUCCAUUAAUGAAAACACCAUUUUGAUUUGGUAUGUAGUGCCCAUACAGUUACGGGCUCUGUUGAACACUGAACAUUGACCUAGGUAUGUGGACACAUAAUAUCUAUUUAGAAGGGUAAAUAACUUGUAAAUUCAUUACAACCAAUCUGUUUCAGUAGAAAGUAUC
rnacentral:lncRNA from 1 species